AUUGUGAUUUUAUCAUAAAAGUGAAAUGUUUUUUUUUUUUUAAAAAAAAUGUUUGAUUAAAAAUAAAAAUUAAGUAUCAAUAAAACAAAAAGGACAAUUCGGAGCGGUAAAACCCCUAGUGCAUAAAAUUCAGAAAAGAGUCGGACUACGAAGAUCUAUUAUAUGUAAUUUUAUCUUAUAUUUCUAUCAAAAAUUAUUUUUACGGCUUGGAUCCCUGAACUCCCGGACACGGCAGGACCAGGAUAUAUAAUAUGACAUGUCGGCAAUACAUAAACUUAAAUAAUUCCAACCUAUUGCUUUAAAAACUUUCCCUUAAUUUGGAACUUAGCAAAAGGGGAAGGAAAAAUGGUUAAGGAUAAUAAAUAAUUUUGGGAUUAGGUGGAGAGAAUAGUAAUAUAAUAAGAAAAUUAUGGAGCGUCCAAUAUAUUUUUAUUUGUUUUGACUAACGACCAUAAUCUAAAGUGAGUCUGAGAAAAAAAAAAAAUUAAGCGAUUUUUCCAUCUGUCCUAUUUUUGAUGGUCAGAAUUAUCUGUCCUAUUUUUGAUGGUCAGAAUUAUGAAAUUACCUUUUAUUUAUAGCUUAUAGAAGACGAUAAAUAUCUUAUGAAUUUAGUUAAGAUACGCAAAUACUGACUCGAACAUUUAUGAAAAAAAAUAUAUAACUUUUUCUUGGGAUUUUUAUUUUUGGAAUCCAAAAUGAGGAAUCAUUUUCCAAUUCAUAUUAUAUCUUUCCACUUUUGCUUGCCUUUCCAUUUCUUUGCCUUCCUAAAUUUAGUGAAAUGAACUCGUAAUUUUAAAUUCUACACUGCCUAAAUGUAUUGCAAUUUGCAAAUCUAGAGCAUUCAAAACCUUUAUUAAGUACAGAAUAAUCAGUAAUUACAAGCAUGGAUUCUAAAAAACAUCCAUACAAAAAUGAAGCAAAAAAAAAAAAGUAACAUUAAUUAGGAAGAAGAGAAAAAUAGUAGAAAUCUACAAAUCAAACGUCUCGAGUUCAAACUCAAAAUUACAAAUCUUCAAAUACUAACAAGCAUUUCUCCUUCAAUUCGCUUUACUCAACACAAAUUCAAAUUAAUCCAACUUAAAACUUUAGAUACUCAUCAUUGGGACAAGAACACCAAGAAAAUUAAUUUACAAGCAUGGAUUUUAACUACAUCCAUACAAAAAAGGAAGGCAAAAAGAAACUCAAAUAUACAAUAACAAGAAAGAAGACCUAAAAAAAACGAAAAAAAAAACAGAAGUCUCGAGUUAAAGCCUUAAAAACACAAAUCAUCUUACAGUAACAAGUACUUAUCCUUACUUGAACUUACAUGAUGCAAAUCUGAAUUAAUCUGACUCAAACUUCAAAUACACCAAAAAAAAAAAAAAAAAUCAUCUAUCCAUCAUUUCAGGAACUUCAGGACUCUCUAUAAUACUUUCUAAACUAGGUUUCCAUCCAGAAGAAAUUAUUUUGGUUCUAUUUUUUUCAAUUUCACACAAAAAUUCCUCUAAUUUUUUGCCUUCUUUAAAUUUCAACUGAAGAAGUAACCAUUCAAGUUCUUCUUUAGUUAAAAUUACUUUCAAUCUCAUAUUUGUUUUUCCCUUUUCCAUCUCAAUAUUUUCCUUCAUAAAUUCCUCUUUUUUUUCUUCUUGAAUACUUAGUUCCUCUAUACUUUCCCUUUGUAAACAUGUUUCUACACAAUUUCCCAUGAUUUUUUUUUAAUUUUUUUUUCGUGAAUUGUGAGGGGAAAAUGAAAGAUGGAUUUGAGAAGAAAAUGAGAAGAAGGAAAAAUAAUAAUUUACAGAGAGAGAGAGAGGGGGAAAAGUGUUAAGUAGAUUUGCAUGUGAGAGUGGGUGAAGAGACAUUUUAUAGAUGUUGAAUUGAGUAAUUAAAUAAAAUAAUAGUUGGAUUAGUUAAUUUUUAUGUGUUAUUUGAUUUUACUUUUCUAUAAUUAGUUGGAAUAUUUGUCCCUUCCUUCUAAGUUUAGUCACUUAAG
rnacentral:lncRNA from 1 species